rnacentral:rRNA from 1 species
CUAUGGACGCUUUGUCGGCRGGGCUUGGGGCGGAAGUGCCAAUGAAACAUGGCAUCAGAGAGGGUCAUAGUCCCGUGCUCGCUCAAUCCAAGCCCGUGUGCAGCGAAAAGUGCUCCGCGAGUCGCAUAGUUUGGUAAUGCUAUGCCAAGUGGGAGGUAGAGCCCUUCUAAAGCUAAAUAUGAUGAUGUGACCGAUAGUUCACAAGUACCGCGAGGGAAAGGUGAAAAGUAACCAUGUAGAAUGGGUUGAAAGAGAAGUGAAAGUGCUACCGGGAUAAGGGCAUGUGACAGCUGGUGUCUGUAGGGCGUGCUUCAGUGCUGUCCUUCUAGAACGGUGUGCGGAUGUGUCCGAUGGGGAGACAAGGCYGUCUGGGAAUGUGGCUCAACCUUCGGGAUGAGUGUUAUAGCCCGGCGUGCAAAAGAACCCCRUGACACAUGUGAACUGUGCAUCUUGCUGUGGCAUGCCUCCCGUCUCGAAACACGGACCAAGGAGUGCAUCUUGCAUGCGAGUCGAAGGGGGUUGGAAUCCCUGGAGGCGUAGCGAAAGCGAAAGACUGUGAAUUGUUGGCAGGCCCUUGUGGCCAGAUGGGAUGAUAAAUCAGCAGCGACCCGCUUUGUGCGAGGGAGAGCAUGCAGGAUACGACCCGAAAGAUGGUGAGCUAUGCUUGGACAAGGUGAAGCCAGUGGAAACGCUGGUGGAGGC